rnacentral:rRNA from 1 species
AUCAUUCAUUGGGGACUCCUAGCGAGACUGUCCAGUGAGUAAACUGGAGGAAGGUGGGGAGUGACGUCAAAUCAUCGAUGCCCUUAUGACCUGGGCUACAAACGUCAUACAAUGGCUGAAACAAAGAGAAGCGAAGCAGUGAAUGUGGAGCAAAACUCGAUAAAAGCAGUCUCAGUUCAGAUUGUAGUCUGCAACUCGACUACAUGAAGUCGGAAUCGCUAGUAAUCGCAGAUCAGCAUGCUGCGGUGAAUACGUUCUCGGGUUU